UACAGAGGUCUCAAGCGUUGUUCGGAUUCAUUGGGCGUAAAGGGUGUGUAGGUGGCGCCGUAAGUCGGGUGUGAAAUUUCGGAGCUUAACUCCGAAACUGCAUUCGAUACUGCGGUGCUUGAGGACUGGAGAGGAGACUGGAAUUCAUGGUGUAGCAGUGAAAUGCGUAGAUAUCGUAAGGAAGACCAGUGGCGAAGGCGGGUCUCUGGACAGUUCCUGACGCUGAGGCACGAAGGUCAGGGGAGCAAACGGGG
rnacentral:rRNA from 1 species